GCAAGUCGAGGGGUAACGGAAGUAGCUUGCUACUAGACGACGACCGGCGCACGGGUGAGUAACGCGUAUGUAAUCUGCCUUGUACAGAGGGAUAGCCCAGAGAAAUUUGGAUUAAUACCUCAUAGUAUUACUGAGUCGCAUGAUUUGGUAAUUAAAGCUCCGGCGGUACAAGAUGAACAUGCGUGACAUUAGCUAGUUGGUAAGGUAACGGCUUACCAAGGCUACGAUGUCUAGGGGUUCUGAGAGGAUGAUCCCCCACACUGGUACUGAGACACGGACCAGACUCCUACGGGAGGCAGCAGUGAGGAAUAUUGGUCAAUGGACGCAAGUCUGAACCAGCCAUCCCGCGUGAAGGAUGACUGCCCUAUGGGUUGUAAACUUCUUUUAUAUGCAAAUAAACCUACUUUCGUGAAAGUAGCUGAAGGUAGCAUAUGAAUAAACACCGGCUAACUCCGUGCCAGCAGCCGCGGUAAUACGGAGGGUGUAAGCGUUAUCCGGAUUUAUUGGGU
rnacentral:rRNA from 1 species